rnacentral:sRNA from 1 species
UUUGAUAUGAUAGCUCAACUGGUGAUAUGUGGUUUUGUUUCAGUGGAUCUGUGUUUGAUUAUAUUGUUGACGUUUUGGUUGUUGUAUAGUUGAUGGUUGAUGUAUUUUUGUUGAUUCUGAUGUUUCGAUUUUUGUUUUUGUUUUGACAGCUAUGGGUAAAGAGAAGUUUCACAUUAACAUUGUGGUCAUUGGUCAUGUUGAUUCUGGAAAAUCGACCACAACUGGUCACUUGAUCUAUAAGCUUGGUGGUAUUGACAAGCGUGUCAUCGAGAGGUUCGAGAAGGAGGCUGCUGAGAUGAACAAGAGGUCCUUCAAGUACGCAUGGGUGUUGGACAAACUUAAGGCCGAGCGUGAGCGUGGUAUUACCAUCGAUAUUGCUCUAUGGAAGUUCGAGACCACCAAGUACUACUGCACAGUCAUUGAUGCCCCAGGACAUCGUGAUUUCAUCAAGAACAUGAUUACUGGUACCUCCCAGGCUGAUUGUGCUGUUCUUAUCAUUGACUCCACCACUGGAGGUUUUGAGGCUGGUAUCUCUAAGGAUGGUCAGACCCGUGAGCACGCUCUUCUUGCUUUCACCCUUGGUGUCAAGCAGAUGAUUUGCUGUUGUAACAAG